rnacentral:rRNA from 1 species
GUACACUCCUACGGGAGGCAGCAGUGGGGAAUAUUGCACAAUGGGCGCAAGCCUGAUGCAGCCAUGCCGCGUGUAUGAAGAAGGCCUUCGGGUUGUAAAGUACUUUCAGCGGGGAGGAAGGCGAUAAGGUUAAUAACCUUGUUGAUUGACGUUACCCGCAGAAGAAGCACCGGCUAACUCCGUGCCAGCAGCCGCGGUAAUACGGAGGGUGCAAGCGUUAAUCGGAAUUACUGGGCGUAAAGCGCACGCAGGCGGUCUGUCAAGUCGGAUGUGAAAUCCCCGGGCUCAACCUGGGAACUGCAUUCGAAACUGGCAGGCUAGAGUCUUGUAGAGGGGGGUAGAAUUCCAGGUGUAGCGGUGAAAUGCGUAGAGAUCUGGAGGAAUACCGGUGGCGAAGGCGGCCCCCUGGACAAAGACUGACGCUCAGGUGCGAAAGCGUGGGGAGCAAACAGGAUUAGAAACCCCUGUAGUCCC